rfam:Clostridium sp. D5 genomic scaffold supercont1.2, whole genome shotgun sequence.
CACUAAAACUCAGGAGAGUCUCUUGAUUUAAGAGCGCCGAAGGUGUAAGCAGCAAUAGCUGUAAAUCUCUCAGGCAAAAGGAUGGAGGAGUAAUU